rnacentral:tRNA from 1 species
GUGGUUAGCUCAGUUGGGAGAGCGACGGCCUUACAAGCCGUAGGUCACAGGUUCGACCCCUGUACC